GGCAAGCCCCAGGAAUCUGCAUUUUAACACUCUGGUGGUGAUUUUGAUGUACACACUCACUGCAAAAGCUUCACCAAGGUGGCCCAACUCACUGGUUCCUUUGCUCUGGCCUCAACAAACUAGCCAUGCUGUAAAGAAAGCUUUAAACACUCCAGCUGCUGGGUCAAGACUCAAGACUAAGUUUAUUCAGCAGAGACA